rnacentral:rRNA from 1 species
GAUGAACGCUGGCGGCGUGCCUAAUACAUGCAAGUCGAGCGAACGGACGAGAAGCUUGCUUCUUUGAUGUUAGCGGCGGACGGGUGAGUAACACGUGGAUAACCUACCUAUAAGACUGGGAUAACUUCGGGAAACCGGAGCUAAUACCGGAUAAUAUUUUGAACCGCAUGGUUCAAAAGUGAAAGACGGUCUUGCUGUCACUUAUAGAUGGAUCCGCGCUGCAUUAGCUAGUUGGUAAGGUAACGGCUUACCAAGGCAACGAUGCGUAGCCGACCUGAGAGGGUGAUAGGCGACACUGGAACUGAGACACGGUCCAGACUACUACGGGAGGCAGCAGUAGGGAAUCGUCCGCAGUGGGCGAAAGCCUGACGGAGCGGCGCCGCGUGAGUGGUGAAGGUCUUCGGAGCGUAAAACUCUGUUAUUAGGGAAGAACAUAUGUGUAAGUAACUGUGCACAUCUUGACGGUACCUAAUCAGAAAGCCACGGCUAACUACGUG